GUCAACAGAUGUUUGUUUUUUUUCCAUUUGGGUAAAAUCGCAGACUGACCCUGAUGUCGUCCAUGUUGGUGUUCUUUAACUUUUCCCUGAAGUGAGGGUCUUUCUCCAGGUACUCGAUGACUUCCCUGAGGUAGCGGUCAUAAUGCAGUCCGGUGUCCUGAGACGUGGACGAAAAGCGUCUUCCUGUUGGGGCUUCUCUUUGCUCUUGUCCACACUGAUGGGCACUGAGUGGAUGCACAGCCACAGACUGAGCAGAACCAGGGCACAGUGGGCCAGCGCUUUACCGCCCAGCAUCACCAUCUAGUUGAAUGAACAGUGAAUUUUUACACUCCAUCCAUCCAUCCAUCCAUCCAUCUUCUUCCGCUUAUCCGAGGUCGGGUCGCGGGGGCAGCAGCCUAAGCAGGGAAGCCCAGACUUCCCUCUCCCCAGCCACUUUGUCCAGCUCUUCCUGUGGGACUCCGAGGCGUUCCCAGGCCAGCCGGGAGACAUAGUCUUCCCAACGUGUCCUGGGUCUUCCCCGCAGCCUCCUACCGGUCGGACGUGCCCUAAACACCUCCCUAGGGAGGCGUUCGGGUGGCAUCCUGACCAGAUGCCCGAACCACCUCAUCUGGCUCCUCUCGAUGUGGAGGAGCAGUGGCUUUACUUUGAGCUCCCCCCGGAUGGCAGAGCUUCUCACCCUAUCUCUAAGGGAGAGCCCCGCCAAUUUUUACACUUUCAUUGAA